GGGAUUGCCUCAGUAACGGCGAGUGAAGCGGCAAGAGCUCAAAUUUGAAAGCUGGCUCCUUCGGAGUCCGCAUUGUAAUUUGCAGAGGAUGCUUUGGGUGCGGCCCCCGUCUAAGUGCCCUGGAACGGGCCGUCAGAGAGGGUGAGAAUCCCGUCUUGGGCGGGGUGUCCGUGCCCGUGUAAAGCUCCUUCGACGAGUCGAGUUGUUUGGGAAUGCAGCUCUAAAUGGGUGGUAAAUUUCAUCUAAAGCUAAAUACUGGCCGGAGACCGAUAGCGCACAAGUAGAGUGAUCGAAAGAUGAAAAGCACUUUGAAAAGAGAGUUAAACAGCACGUGAAAUUGUUGAAAGGGAAGCGCUUGCGACCAGACUCGCCCGCGGGGUUCAGCCGGCAUUCGUGCCGGUGUACUUCCCCGUGGGCGGGCCAGCGUCGGUUUGGGCGGCCGGUCAAAGGCCCCUGGAAUGUAGUACCCUCCGGGGUACCUUAUAGCCAGGGGUGCAAUGCGGCCAGCCUGGACCGAGGAACGCGCUUCGGCACGGACGCUGGCAUAAUGGUCGUAAACGACCCG
rnacentral:rRNA from 1 species